UUUUUUUUUUCCCAUUGGCAGGCACAAGGCCUACCGGCUGUAACUGUAACUGUAGGGCCUUGACAAAAGAACAUUGGACAAAACUAUUUCAAACUUGGAUACGGAGUUAGCUUCUGCAAAGGCAGCUCAGGAGUCAAUUCGCAAUAGCGCUUCUCUAUCAGAAGAUAUAAAAGCAACUUAAUCAACUCCUAAGAGAAGGUA